UACGAAGGGGGCUAGCGUUGUUCGGAUUUACUGGGCGUAAAGCGCACGUAGGCGGAUCGUUAAGUCGGGGGUGAAAUCCUGGAGCUCAACUCCAGAACUGCCUUCGAUACUGGCGAUCUUGAGUCCGGAAGAGGUGAGUGGAACUCCUAGUGUAGAGGUGGAAUUCGUAGAUAUUAGGAAGAACACCAGUGGCGAAGGCGGCUCACUGGUCCGGUACUGACGCUGAGACGCGAAAGCGUGGGGAGCGAACAGG
rnacentral:rRNA from 1 species